CCUACGGGUGGCUGCAGUGGGGAAUAUUGGACAAUGGGGGCAACCCUGAUCCAGCCAUGCCGCGUGUGUGAAGAAGGCCCUCGGGUUGUAAAGCACUUUCAGUGAGGAAGAACGCCUGGUGGUUAAUACCCAUCAGGAAAGACAUCACUCACAGAAGAAGCACCGGCUAACUCCGUGCCAGUAGCCGCGGUAAUACGGAGGGUGCGAGCGUUAAUCGGAAUUACUGGGCGUAAAGCGCGCGUAGGUGGCUUGAUAAGCCGGUUGUGAAAGCCCCGGGCUCAACCUGGGAACGGCAUCCGGAACUGUCAAGCUAGAGUGCAGGAGAGGAAGGUAGAAUUCCCGGUGUAGCGGUGAAAUGCGUAGAGAUCGGGAGGAAUACCAGUGGCGAAGGCGGCCUUCUGGACUGACACUGACACUGAGGUGCGAAAGCGUGGGUAGCAAACAGGAUUAGAUACCCGAGUAGUC
rnacentral:rRNA from 1 species